UACAGAGGUCUCAAGCGUUGUUCGGAUUCAUUGGGCGUAAAGGGUGUGUAGGUGGCGCCGUAAGUCGGGUGUGAAAUUUCGGAGCUUAACUCCGAAACUGCAUUCGAUACUGCGGUGCUUGAGGACUGGAGGGGAGACUGGAAUUCCUGGUGUAGCGGUGAAAUGCGCAGAUAUCAGGAGGAACACCGAUGGCGAAGGCAGGUCUCUGGGCCAUAACUGACGCUGAGAAGCGAAAGCAUGGGGAGCGAACAGG
rnacentral:rRNA from 1 species